CCUACGGGAGGCAGCAGUGGGGAAUAUUGCGCAAUGGGCGAAAGCCUGACGCAGCGACGCAGCGUGAGGGAUGAAGGCCUUCGGGUUGUAAACCUCUUUCAGCGGGGACGAAGCGAAAGUGACGGUACCCGCAGAAGAAGCACCGGCUAACUACGUGCCAGCAGCCGCGGUAAUACGUAGGGUGCAAGCAUUGUCCGGAUUUAUUGGGCGUAAAGAGCUCGUAGGCGGCUUGUCACGUCGGGUGUGAAAACUUGGGGCUCAACCCCAAGCCUGCACUCGAUACGGGCUAGCUAGAGUGUUGCAGGGGAGACUGGAAUUCCUGGUGUAGCGGUGAAAUGCGCAGAUAUCAGGAGGAACACCGGUGGCGAAGGCGGGUCUCUGGGCAACUACUGACGCUGAGGAGCGAAAGCGUGGGGAGCGAACAGGAUUAGAUACCCUGGUAGUCCACGCCGUAAACGGUGGGCGCUAGGUGUGGGGAACCUUCCACGUUCUCUGUGCCGCAGCUACGACAUUAAGCGCCCCGCCCGUCGGGGAGGUACGGGCCGGCCGAACGGACGUAAAACCGUUAAAACUUAAGUAAAGUUAGUUACGGGCGUGAGACGUGCCGACGGCGACCGACCGAGGGGAGGUUAGGG
rnacentral:rRNA from 1 species